CUACGGGGUGCUGCAGGUGCGAAAACUUUACAAUACACGAAAGUGUGAUAAGGGAAUUCCAAGUGCUUUGUCUUCGGAUAAAGCUUUUAUUAAGUUUAAAAAUCUUAAUGAAUAAGUGGUGGGUAAUACUGGUGCCAGCCGCCGCGGUAACACCAGAGCCACUAGUGGUGACCAUGUUUAUUGGGCCUAAAGCGUUCGUAGCCGGUUUAAUAAAUCUUCUGUGAAAUUGUUUAGCUUAACUUAACAACUUGCAGAAGACACUAUUAAACUUGAAACCAGUAAGAGACAAAGGUAUUCUUAGGGGAGCGGUAAGAUGUUAUAAUCCUAAGAGGACCACCUGUGGCGAAGGCGUUUGUCUAGGAUGGGUUUGACGGUGAGGAACGAAAGCUGGGAGAACGAUCCGGAUUAGAUACCCUUGUAGUC
rnacentral:rRNA from 1 species